GAUGAACGCUAGCUACAGGCUUAACACAUGCAAGUCGAGGGGAAACGACAUCGAAAGCUUGCUUUUGAUGGGCGUCGACCGGCGCACGGGUGAGUAACGCGUAUCCAACCUGCCCACCACUUGGGGAUAACCUUGCGAAAGUAAGACUAAUACCCAAUGAUAUCUCUAGAAGACAUCUGAAAGAGAUUAAAGAUUUAUCGGUGAUGGAUGGGGAUGCGUCUGAUUAGCUUGUUGGCGGGGUAACGGCCCACCAAGGCGACGAUCAGUAGGGGUUCUGGGAGGAAGGUCCCCCACCUGUGAACUGAGACACGUUCCAAACUACUACGGGAGGAAGCAAUGGUGAAUAUUGGUCAAUUGGCGAGAGCCUUAACCAGCCAAGUAGCGGGCAGGAUGACGGCCCUAUGGGUUGUAAACUGCUUUUAUAAGGGAAUAAAGUGAGUCUCGUGAGACUUUUUGCAUGUACCUUAUGAAUAAGGACCGGCUAAUUCCGUGCCAGCCGCCGCCGUAA
rnacentral:rRNA from 1 species